rnacentral:misc_RNA from 1 species
ACAUGCCCAACAAAAGCUUGGACUACUUUAUUUUUGGUAUAAAUCAACUUUUCUAAAUUAAAAACAUUCAUCUUUUUUCAUCCAUUAUUUAUUUUGUUUUACCUCAAGUAUUUGUUAGGCUAACAUAUUUGUGACAUGGAUUAUUCUUGCCUAGUUAGAUCCUGUCCACCAUGGAUUUAAGAUACAAAUUGUAUGGUGGGAUCCAUCUAUUAAAUACAUGGCUCCCAUAUGUUUGUAUCUUAAAUCCAUAGUGAACUAGAUCUAGGCAAGGAUUUCCCAACAUGAGACAUUAUUCAGAUCAAACAAGAAGCAAAUUGCUAGAUUGGAAUAAGCGUGUCCAUAUUAUUGGAGGAAUUGCUCGAGGACUUCUUUAUCUUCAUCAAGACUCUAGAUUGAGGAUUAUUCACCGAGAUCUUAAGGGUAGUAACAUCUUACUAGAUGGUGACAUGAAUCCAAAAAUUUCAGACUUUGGGCUCGCAAGAACAUUUGGAGCAAAUCAAACUGAGGGCAAUACAAGAAGGGUAGUUGGAACAUAGUAAGUAUAUUUAUAAUUAUUUCUGAUUAUCAUUUGUGUUUGAAAAUUUUUUCUUGCUGAUAAUUUUGCAGUGGCUACAUGUCUCCUGAGUAUGCAGUGGACGGACUUUUCUCUGUGAAAUCUGAUGUCUUUAGCUUUGGGGUCUUGAUUUUGGAGAUAGUAAGUGGAAAGAAAAACAGAGGAUUUUGUCAUCCAGAUCAUGACCUUAACCUUCUUGGACAUGUAAGCAUUUAGAAUAGCAUGUACUCCUUGAGCAUGUUAACCAAAAACUUCAACUGGCAUGCCAUGACAUUAAGACACUUGUAAUGAUUGAGUAGUUUCUUGACAUGAUAUUAAAGUCUCUUAGACCAAAAGAUCCAAAGCUUAAAUCAUGGCCAUGCCUAUUUAUUAAAUAAAUAUUUCAGCACAAGGUAAGGUAAUGUGGGCAUGUGCUUUUUCAGCUUCAAGCCCAAUGGGCAUUUAUGUGUUUGGGUUGUGUGUUGGGGUGUAUUAGAGAUAUAAAACAAUUAUCACCUAUAAGCUUAAGUUUUUAGGUUGAGUGGUUUUUGGACACUAUUAAUGCAUGUAUUGCUUUGAUAUGUUUCAGGCAUGGACGCUAUGGAUUAAAAGGAAACCACAUGAACUAAUAGAUGAAUGUUUAACAGUCUCCUCCACUCUAUCUGAAGCCGUAAGGUGCAUUAAUGUGGGUCUCUUAUGUGUGCAGAAACGGCCUGAAGAUAGGCCAAACAUGUCGUCUGUGGUUGUCAUGUUAAGCAGUGGGAAUCCUUUGCCUCAGCCAAAACAACCUGGA